AGUUGCAGCUGCUUACGAGCCCCGAAGCCGUCCAGUCAGGCAGGAGGGCGGGUGGGCGGAGUCACACGCUUCUAUGUAACUCGGCCAUCGACCGCCGCCCGGCGUUUCCUGGGCGGUUUAAAAGCGGGCCAGCCAUGUGUUCCCCGCUGCUCAUCCCUGGCAGCUCCAUUACCUUUCGCGUCUCCUUCGUAGAAGUCCACCCUAAGGUGCCGCUGGUGAGGCUCUGGGGGCUACCCGGCGAACGCAGAGAGGAAUAUCUACGGCUGAUGAAGGACAUCCAGAUCAAAGUGGGACCCCGCUUGGCGAACGCUCCUGGGGACCGCGGGGGCCGAGGCGACGGCGACAACGAUGGCCAAGCCCUGGCUCUGGGUGACCUGUGUCUGGUGGAGCUGGGCGGGCGGUGGCACCGUUGCCGUAUCGUGAGCUGCCGGGCCAAGCCGGGGCAAAACUACCGCGUCUUUCUACUGGACGAGGGCCGCACGGUGAGCGCCAGUUCCUACUACUUGGCGCGGGGUCGCAGCGAACUCUUCCACUUACCGUCUGAAGUCAUGGGGUGCAUCAUUGCAGACUUGCUACCUCCCGGCGAGAUGGGGGCAUCCUUCGCCACCACUGUUAGGGGCCCAAAGAGCUUCACCCCGCUAGGAUCCCAGAUGCUGAACUUACGAUGGGCGGCUGAGGCGGUCGACUUUUUGGGUUUCCUACAUGGCAAAGAGCUGUCUGGCGUCAUUCGAAAACUGCUGAUCUCGCAAUGCCUGGUGGUGCUGGAAGUGCCCUGGCUGCUGACACAGAUGCGUCAUCUUGGGCUUGCCAGUCUUGUCUCUACUGCUUUUGGCACCCUACUGAGUGCCAUCUUGGAAGUUCCUGAGAUUGCUUCUGUCCCAUUGGAGCCAACUUCCCCUUUGUCCCAGGCUCCAGUCCUUACUUCUGCCCAAUCCAAGCAGGAUCAAAUCAAAAUGGAUUUCUUCUAUCCUCAAUUGGAGUUGAAUGUGACUGUGGCUGUAGUGGUGACUCAAAUCUCUGAUCCAUAUAGGAUAUAUUGCCAGCUGCGUAGUCUUUCUAAAGAAAUCCAACUACUUUCAGAUGCUAUGUACCAAGCUUUUGAGUUAUCAAAGGGGAAAUUUGUAGAAGAGGCUUUACCCACCCCAGGUUUUCCCUGUGCAGCCCAGGGCAUGGAUGGAGGCUGGUAUCGAGCUUUGUUAUUAGAAAUAUACCCGGCAGAUGAUCAAGAGGAUCAACCAGAGGCAGUGGCUCAAGUGAUUUGUGUGGAUUAUGGCAGGAAAGAGUUUGUGACAAAGAGACAUCUGCGCAACUUACCUGCUGAAUAUUUCCGCAUGCCAGUAGUAACCUACCCUUGCUCACUGCAAGGUAUUACCGAUGGAGGUUGUGGCUGGACCCAUUCACAAAUUAAUCAACUUAAAACAUUGCUCUUGGGCAAGGUAGUUCAAGCUCACAUCGAAGCUUACUGUCCCUUUGAGCAUAUCUAUUACAUUACCUUAUAUGGGGAAGAUGGUCUCAACCUUAACUGCCUCUAUGGGGUGCAGGCUCAUUGCCUGGCUCAAAAUCUCCUGCAGAGUAAUCAAGAAUCCACCUCUGGUUUAAUUAUUGAAUCAGAAAGCUUGGGUGUCUUCGUCCAAAAGGAAUCUGCUGCUUUGUCAGAGUCAUUGCCUGCUAUUGCUGCUACCCCGUUUUUUGUUGUGCGUCUGAAGGCAGGCGAGUACCAUAAUGUUCAGAUGUCAUUUCUUCAGGGCCCUUCAGAAUUCUGGGUGCAGUUGCAGGAACUUAAACAGCCACUUUGUCACUUAAGGCGGAAUUUAAGGGACUUUUAUUCUCGGAGUAAGAAACUAGAGGGUAUUCUACUUGAGCCCAAGGUAGGAUCCCUCUGCUGUGUCAUGUUGAAGGAAAACUCUUAUCAUCGUGCCCUUGUUACUAAAGUUCAAGGAAAAGGAAUUGUGGUGUAUUUGGUGGAUUGGGGAAACACUGAAGUAGUUGACUUGUAUAAGGUGAAGAAGUUGCUUCCCCAAUUCAAAGAACUUCCUGCUGUGGCAGUCCGGUGUGCAUUGGAUAAUCCUUUCCCAGGUCAGUCAUGGAACCCAGAAGCUGUUGAUUAUUUUAGGAAAUCUGUGCUAAACAAGGAAUUGAUGAUCAAAGUUCUAGGCAUGCAAGGAGAUGUUUAUAUAGUUGAACUUUUUGAUAAUUCUCUAGUGGGAGAAAAAAAUUUGGGUAAAAUCAUGUCCCAGAGAAAGUACACGAAGCAUCAUGAAGUACUAGAAACUCUCCAGAGAAUAUCAGAUAAGCUAUUAACAGGGGACCCUGAAAGUAAACCAAUGAGGUUAAAACCUGUGAAGAAAAAAAUACCAGCAACAGACGAAGUAGAACAUCCACAACAUAAUUCUUCAACUUCUUCUACAGCUGAAAUUUUGAUAAAUGAACACCAUUCCAGUGAGGGAGCUUUUUAUUCUUCAUCAGCUCUGAGUGGCAAUGAUAAUUCAUCAUGCGAGAUGCAGAACUAUUCUGAAAUAAAGGCAGGUGAAAAACAGCUUGAAUUUGGAAGCACGGUUGAUGUGAUUGUAACACACAUAGAAAAUCCUAGUCAUUUUUGGUGUCGAUUAUUUAAGAAUUCCCAUGAACUGAAUAUACUUAUGGCUAAAAUUCAGGAUUAUUGUAUACAUUCAGCAGAGCUUCAUGAAUGCCCAAAUUCUGUAUGUUUGGCUAAGUGUUCUGAGGAUAAAAAAUGGUACAGAGCUGUUAUCAUUAAUAAGGUUCGUUACACAGAAGAGAUUGAAGUCGCUUAUGUUGAUUAUGGAAAUAAAGAGCAUGUUUCACUGAAAAAUAUUCGUGCAACUACAGCAGAGUUUCUGAAGCUAAAAGCUCAAGCUUUUAGAUGUAGCCUUUACAAUUUAAUUCAGCCAAAAAAUACAAAUCCUUUUGUUUGGGAUAAAAAAGCCAUCGAAACGUUUCUUGAAUUUGUGGAUUCAGGAUCUAAAGUGACAUUGAAGUGUACUAUAUUUGCUUUAGCAGCAUUAAAUGGUACAGAACUAUUUAAUAUUGUUGACCUAAUUACUCCUUUUGAAAGUGCUUGCAAUUUUUUAAUAAGAAAAGGUCUAGCCACAUUUGUACAGAGAGAGAAACCCUUGGUAUCAUCUGUUCAACUUCUAUCGUAUUAUUACUCAACCCACAAUAUCAAAAGAGGAAAUGAAGAGAUUGUUUAUGUCACACAUGUUAAUAGUCCAUGUUUCUUUUUCUGCCAACUUGCUAGGAAUGCAGAUGCUCUUGAAAAGUUAACUAGUAAUAUUAGUAAAGUAAGCAAAAUGUACAAUUUGCAAACUUCACCCACCUCUAGAAAUUUGUAUCUUGCAAAGUAUACUGAUGACUGCUGGUAUAGGGCAGUAGUAACUUCAAAAAAUGAUACCAAAGAAGUUUUUUUUGUAGAUUUUGGGAAUACACAACUGUUGAAAAAUGAAGAGCUGAUUCCAGUACCAAACGAUUCUUACGAGUUAAUGCUUUUGCCUAUGCAGGCUAUAAAAUGUUCUCUAUCUGAUAUUGUUGAUCCACCAAAAGAUGCUAUUGAGUGGUUUGAAAAGGCAGUGUUAGAUAAACCCUUAAAAGCUUUGAUUGUAGCAAAAGAUCCUGAUGGAACGUUGAUAAUUGAACUGUAUGAUGGUAAAAUACAGAUCAAUGCAAGAUUGAAGCAAAGCUUAGGUUUGCAGGCUAGCAAAGAGAUUACCAAAAACAAAGAGAUUACUGAAAACACAGCAAACAGCACUUUGUCUUCCAAAUACUUACUUAAUAGGGAAGAAAAUAGUGAAAGGGGGCUAGCUUUGGUAGACUUUGUCAAGCCUGUUCUUGAGGGCAAUACUAAAUCUAGUGCUCUUUUUGAAGAAACCUGCCAAUUGCAACAGAAAACUAAAAAAGAGGGAGGAAGAAAAUUCCUAGGAUUCACAGAAGGCUCUAGCAAAAGUAAUUAUGGGGCAGAUUGGAAGGACAUGAAAUGUGCAGCCCUUCAUGAGAAAGGGGAGAGAGGUGAUAUUAAAAAUAAAUCCAAAUCUGUAACAUAUUCUUCACCUGAAAAUAUAUAUGAACUACCUCAAAAAAACAUAAAUCCUGGUCUUAAAUCUUUAGUGUAUGUUUCUCACAUAAAUAAUCUUUCUGAUUUUUAUGUACAGUUAGUAGAAGAUGAGCCUAUCCUUGAUAGUAUUUCAGAGAAAAUAAACAACUCUAAAACAGUUUCAAGCUUAGUGGGGCAACAGCUUAAUGUAGGAGAUUUAAUAUGUGCAAUUUAUUCAGAAGAUGGCUUAUGGUAUCGAGCUGUAAUUAUUAAAGAAUCCACUAAUGAAUCGGUAGAGGUACAAUAUAUUGAUUAUGGCAAUACUGCAGUAGUUAGCAUUCAUAAAACAUGCAAACUUGUUGAAGACUGUUUAUCUUUCCCUGUGAUGAGCAUCCAUUGUAGCCUGGGUAGUAUUAAGAUGUCAGUGAUUCCAGAAUGGACACAAAAAGCAGUGCUAUAUUUCUCCCAAAAGACAAGUGAGGUUCAGAUGAAUAGUCAAUUUGUUGAGAAAGUAAAGGGCAAAUGGGAAAUAAUACUCAGUGAUGAAAAAGGUGAUACAAUGGUUGAUAUGAUGAAUAGUUGCCUUGAAUAUAAAAAAUAUGACCUAAUAGAGACAUCUGACAAAGGAUUUGACAAGACUGGCAAAGUAAGCUUAUGUGAAGAUAUUCUUUCUGAUAAGCACAGUAGACUUUCAGUUAGCAAAUCAUUUCUCUGGAAGAUACCUAAAAUAGGUGAAACUAUAAAAGCCUUUUCAUUCAUUCCAAAGAAUCCAGGAUAUUUCUGGUGUCAGUUCACUGAAAAUGAUAUUAGUUCAAUUGAAAUAAAACUUCAGGAAGCUGGAGAACUUGCAAAAAUCCACGUUAAUGAUCUUAAAAAUGGCAGUCCUUGUCUAGCAAAGUCUAGUGAACAUAAUUUAUUUCACCGAGCAAUUGUUAGUCAUAUAGAAGGAAGUUCCUUGACAGUAAUCGAUAUUGAUUAUGGAACUGAGAAACUUGUCAGUAUAGAAGUGAUCAGGCAAAUUCCUGAUGGACUGUUAAUAAUUCCGCCACAAGCAUUUUUGUGUUGUCUCUUUGGUUUUAAUUCUGAAAAAGGUUCAUGGGCUGAAGGAAUAAGUGAAAUUUUCUAUGAUAUGAUAGCUGAUCUUCCAUUAGAGAUUACAGUUAUGGACAAACUGAACCAUGGUUCUUUUGAAAUUCCCUUGUUUGUAGUUAAAUUGGAAUGUCAAAAGAGAAGCAUCAAUGAACAAAUGAAACACUUUUGGAAGCAUCAUGCUGAAAGUGGUGAUUCCACUAUAGCAAAUAAUUACAACACCGAAGAGCAGAUUAGAAAUCCAGAAGAAGAGAACUCAAAAUCUGUGCCAUUUGAAACUGAAACUUCUGUUUGUACAAUAGCCCCCACAAAUAAUAAUUUGGAAGAUGUAUUCUGUUGUCCAAAUCUAUUACAGUCAGUAGAUAAGUGUUUUGAUGUUGAAGAUGGGAUUUUAUCAGAAACAUCUGCACAGCCACCCAAAACUCAAAUCAACUUUAUCAUGCAUGAAAUAUUUUAUACAGGAACCCAACAGACCACAUUUGAUGCAUUUAAUAAUGAAACAAACUAUUCUGCAUCUGGAAACAGAAAAAACAUAAUAGAUUCUACAGGUCUUUCUGAAAUACAGCUUUCUACUUGUAAAAUUGAAUAUGAUGUACUUGAAUCUCAGGGAGGAACAGAAGACAAAGAAAUAUUAAUGCUAGAUUCUCCUGAAAUUCAGUUGCCUUUGGAUGAUACAAAGAGGUUGCUGGACUUUGUGCCCUUACAAGUCCUUUCCCAAUUAAAUAAUGCAAAAAGCAUGCCAGAAAUUGAGAAGUUAAAAGUGCCUUUGUUGGAAGACGUGCUACAAUCAGAGACAAUAGAAAUAAAAGCUUACUGUGAUGAACCACAAAAAAAGACAGAAUUGCAUUUACUUGAACCACAACAUGUGGAAGGACAGUCAGCACACAAAGUAGAAGAGAAUACUUCACUAAAGAAUGAAAAUGAAAAUUUAAUAUUAGAAGUGUUGGCACCUGAAGCAUUUCCUUUACUGACUGAGAAAGCCAACAAUAAUACACUAUAUUUGCAAUACCCUGCGUUGUCUGUUCCUGCAGAUAAUAAAAUCCAGUCAUCAUUUUCAGAAAUUAAAGUUAAGCCACAAGAUUUCUGUUCUUCUGUUGAAGGCCUUGUUGAAGAGUGUAAACUGGGAAAAAGUGACAACAAUCCCAAUUUUACUGAAGGGCAAACUGCGCUAAGAAAGAACUAUGGAGAAAUGCAGAUGAGCAUUCAUGGAAGUUUUAAAGACAAUAUGUGUGUGGAAAAAGAUUAUUUAACAAAUAUACAGCUAAGUGAAGUGAAUGAAGCCUUAAUACAUGAUACAGAAAAAAAAGAAAACAUUUGCAAUUUAAUGGGAUUUGAUAUUGGUUCCCAAUGUAUGGUACGGUCAGGUGCUCAGUGGUACAAGGCUGAGAUUUUAGACAUAUCUGCUGAAGGUACAAAGGUUUUGAAUCUUUCAAAUGGAAAUGAAGAGAUUGUCAAUCCUAUACAUGUUUGGAAUGGAAUUCCUGAAUUGGAUUCAGAUCUCACUCAGAUAACAUCCAAGAAUAAAACAGAUAUCUUGCACUCUGUGCCAGCAACUAUCUUGGCAAUGGAAGGAUCCUGGUGCUAGCAAGGGUGGAGCCCUUGAAUACACAUGGCAGGGUGGCAGAGCCUUCUCUGUGGAGAGAGUUGAACAGGCCUGGUCAAGGAAGAGGCAGCAGGACGGAGGUGGUGGAAGAAGCAGGGUGGCAUGGUUGGUGGAGCCCUGUCUUUCACUGCCAGCCCACUAACUGGAGAACGCAGCAAGACCAACUGACAAGAUGUGGCACCCUCGUCUUGUCAGCCAACAGAGUGGUGGGAGCAUCCUGGAGGAGUAGGACAUGCUCUGCAGCUCACGUUGGAAUCUGCACACUCCUUCCAAGGCUUUGUAGAAGGAAGGUUGGGCCAAGCAAGUGGGAGAAAUGACUCAUGAUUCAGAUGACAGUACAAAUGAUUGAGUCGUGACAGCACUGAGAGUACAGCUGAGCGAUGCGAAAUCAUUUUACAUUCAAAUUUUCUCUAACUGAAGCCAAGAGUUUUAUCAGGCAUGUCCUGUCCAAACCAGUAGAGCUCUUAGGAGGUUUUUUUUUUCCUCAUAUCCUUCAAGAAUGUUUGUCAUUGUUUUGUAUGAUGCUCCUUGUUAAGGGUCGGAACAAGGUUUUAGACUUGUACUAUCUAAGAAUAUUUAAAUUUUGGAACUAGUUUGUGGUGGGGGGGGGGAAACUUAUAUAUUCUUCCAUAUAUUGAGUUGGUGUGGCAAUAUGGAAAGGUUAUGUGUGUUAAUUUCCUUUUUGUUAAUGAAAGAAAUAAAACAUACCUGAGCUAUUCAUUCUGUUGUUUCAUACUCUUGCAUUUGGAAAAUUUGUGAUCAUAGUGAUGUAGCUGACCAUAUACUGAUUUUUUUUCAUCAUCAUCCUGAUCUAUGUUUUUAGAUAUAAUUUUAUCUAUGCUUUAUACAAUUUUAAAUAUAGUAGUAGAGAGCUAUCAUUUCAGGGAACCUUUAGAAUUAAAGAAAUAUAACUUAAAGUUCCCUUUUAGCUCCCCAGUAUAAGAUAGCAUAGAAAGUUUAUUCCAAAUGGUUAAUCAACACAAUAGGAGUGUUCCUGGGGAAGGCUGAGAAAUAGAUGUCUUUCAGUCAUGGUAAAAGUCUCAGAAUCUCAAACCCAGAUAUUACGUACCACCAAAGCGGUGUUAACAAGAGCUCAGAAAGAUAGCUGAUUGCGAGUACAGGUUGUAUGAAAAUAAAAACAUAUCUGGUUGCCAGUUUUAAACAUAUUUUUUCAAUUGCACUUGUAGUCUACCUUUCUGUUACUG